rnacentral:rRNA from 1 species
AACGGAGGCGCUCAAAGGUUCCCUCAGAAUGGUUGGAAAUCAUUCAUAGAGUGUAAAGGCAUAAGGGAGCUUGACUGCGAGACCUACAAGUCGAGCAGGGUCGAAAGACGGACUUAGUGAUCCGGUGGUUCCGCAUGGAAGGGCCAUCGCUCAACGGAUAAAAGCUACCCCGGGGAUAACAGGCUUAUCUCCCCCAAGAGUUCACAUCGACGGGGAGGUUUGGCACCU